GAAUUGGCGCGUGCUACCAUGUAAGUCGAGCGAUCCGAGUAGCAAUAUUUGGAGAGCGGCGGAAGGGUGAGUAACACGUAGGAGACCUACCUCAUCGCAGGGAACAACUUCGCGAAAGCGGAGCUAAUACCCAAAAGGUUCGAUCAUUCGAUUGAUUGAGCAGAGUGUGUAAGCGCGUGAUGAGAGGGUCCUGCGGCCCAUCAGCUAGUUGGUAAGGUAGAAGCUUACCAAGGCAACGACGGGUAGGGGGUCUGAGAGGACGAUCCCCCACACUGGAACUGAAACACGGUCCAGACGCCUACGGGUGGCAGCAGGGAGGAAUAUUGGGCAAUGGGCGAAAGCCUGACCCAGCAACGCCGCGUGAAGGAUGAAAGCCUUCGGGUUGUAAACUUCUUUUAAGGGAGACGAGAAAGGACGGUAUCCCUUGAAUAAGCCACGGCUAACUACGUGCCAGCAGCCGCGGUAAUACGUAGGUGGCGAGCGUUAUCCGGAUUCAUUGGGCGUAAAGAGCUUGUAGGUGGCAGUGUAAGUUGGACGUAAAAACUCUAGGCUUAACUUGGAGAUGCCGUUCAAUACUGCGCAGCCAGAGGAUGUCAGAGGGAAGUGGAAUUCCUGGAGUAGCAGUGAAAUGCGUAGAUACCAGGAGGAACACCCGUGGCGAAGGCGGCUUCCUGGGACAUACCUGACACUGAGAAGCGAAAGCCAGGGGAGCAAACGGGAUUAGAAACCCCGGUAGUCCUGGCUGUAAACGAUGGAUGCUAGGUGUGGGCAGAACUAACCCUGCGCGUGCCGAAGCUAACGCGUUAAGCAUCCCGCCUGGGAAGUACGAGCGCAAGCUUAAAACUCAAAGGAAUUGACGGGGACCCGCACAAGCAGCGGAGCAUGUGGUUUAAUUCGAUGCAACGCGAAGAACCUUACCUAGGCUUGAAAUGCAGUAGACCGGGUAUGAAAGUACCCUUCCCUUCGGGGCUGCUGUACAGGUGCUGCAUGGCUGUCGUCAGCUCGUGCCGUGAGGUGUUGGGUUAAGUCCCGCAACGAGCGCAACCCCUACCAUUAGUUGCCAUCAGGUAAUGCUGAGCACUCUAAUGGGACUGCCUACGCAAGUAGUGAGGAAGGUGGGGAUGACGUCAAGUCCGCAUGGCCCUUACGCCUAGGGCCACACACGUGCUACAAUGGAUACAACAACGGGUUGCGAAACCGCGAGGUGGAGCCAAUCCCUCAAAUGUAUCCUCAGUUCGGAUUGGAGUCUGCAACUCGACUCCAUGAAGUUGGAAUUGCUAGUAAUCGCGGAUCAGCACGCCGCGGUGAAUACGUUUCCGGGCCUUGUACACACCGCCCGUCAAGCCAUGGAAGCCGGGGGUACCCAAAGCCAGUGUCCUAACCGCAAGGAGGGAGCUGUUUAAGGUAAAACCGGUGACUGGGGCUAAGUCGUAACAAGGUAACCAAU
rnacentral:rRNA from 1 species